rnacentral:lncRNA from 1 species
GCCACCACGCCCGGCAUGGAAGGCUCCCCUGUGAUCCUGAUCUUGAGGCUGGGAGAUACAAGUUUCUGACCUGGAUAUUGACAUGGACAUCUUGAGGCAUAAUGGCUAUGAAUCUGAGGAGACUAAGCCAAGAAAAUCUCUGAGUUCAAGGUCAGCCUGGGACAAAGCAAGGCCUAGAUCCAGGCAUGGUGGCACACACCUUUAAUCUGGGCCACACCUUCCGAUGGAGACCUACAUAAGGACAUUGGGAGAAAGAAGACUCUCUUUGCCUGCUUGCCUUGUGGGACUGAGCAACGGCUAAAUCCUUGGGCUUCCAUUCACAGCUGCUGCUGACCAUUGUUGGGAGUUGGACUACAGACUAUUUCCACAGGGCCAGUGAGAUGGCUGAACGGCCAGAAGAGCUUGCUGCCAGGCCUGGCCACCUGAGUUUGAUAUCUGCAACUCACAUCGUGGAACAAGAGGAUCAACCUGUGAGUGGUCUUCUGGCUCCACGUGGGCAUGCACCAAUACAAAUAAAAAAAGUAAAUGUAAUUUUAGAAAGAUUUGCUGUAGUACAACCAAUUUAAGCUUAUCUCUGACUAGCUUAAAAAUAAAUGAGAUUCAGACUG